AGUGAACGCUGGCAGUAGGCCUAACACAUGCAAGUCGAACGGCAGCACAGUAAGAGCUUGCUCUUACGGGUGGCGAGUGGCGGACGGGUGAGGAAUACAUCGGAAUCUACUUUUUCGUGGGGGAUAACGUAGGGAAACUUACGCUAAUACCGCAUACGACCUACGGGUGAAAGCAGGGGAUCUUCGGACCUUGCGCGAUUGAAUGAGCCGAUGUCGGAUUAGCUAGUUGGCGGGGUAAAGGCCCACCAAGGCGACGAUCCGUAGCUGGUCUGAGAGGAUGAUCAGCCACACUGGAACUGAGACACGGUCCAGACUCCUACGGGAGGCAGCAGUGGGGAAUAUUGGACAAUGGGCGCAAGCCUGAUCCAGCCAUACCGCGUGGGUGAAGAAGGCCUUCGGGUUGUAAAGCCCUUUUGUUGGGAAAGAAAAGCAGCAGGUUAAUACCCCGCUGUUCUGACGGUACCCAAAGAAUAAGCGCCGGCUAACUUCGUG
rnacentral:rRNA from 1 species